rnacentral:miRNA from 1 species
AUUUAGUGAGCUGAGUGGGGAGGAGAGAGGGACAGAGAGUCUGCUUGCUUUAAAGGAGCCAACCAGACAGGAGUUCCCCUCCUCUCCCGCUUUGGUCCUUUAAAGAAGCAGGCUCUCUGUCCCUCUCUCCUCCCCACUCAGCGGCUCUUCUC